rnacentral:lncRNA from 1 species
CUAAAGACCAGGCUCUGGAUGAAGUUCAUAAACCUGAAUGUGCUGGUGAGUGCAUGAAAUCACACAAUCAACACAGUGGGUGAGAUCUGGCUGGAGUUUAAUAAAAGCUGCUUGAGUGCCAACAGGUGUUUCCUUUUCUAAAUCCCACUGGGGAGCUACCUGGCUCUCUUCCCUGAGGAGACACUGGUUAUCUGAGCUGAUUGACCUUUGCAGUUCGGAUUCUAGGAAGCAUUACAGACAAGAAGAAAAAAAAAGAAGAGUAAAAGACAUGUACACUGAGGAAUGCACUUGGGUGUUAUUUUGAGAAAGAGUAAAUGCUUACUCAGCUCUGUUGGCGUGGGAGUGGAUGGGCAGCAGGGUCUCAAGACAAGACCCCAUCAGCACAAAUUUUAAAGCCACAAGAAAUAACUGCCCAAGGAUCAAGAAUCGCUCUCCUCACCUUGCGCUAAGGACUGGAAUGUUUCCAUCUGAAGAAAAAAAGCGAGCCACGCCACUUCCUACAGAGGCAGAUAGCUAUGAGCACCAAGUGAUCUUUUCAGCACCUUUAUCUUUAGGAAAGACAGAGCAUCCAGCAUUUAUCUGGCUGUCCCUGUGCUCUUUUGCUUGACAUUUAGCAGCCUGGUGUGCUGAGAGACACACUUGAAGCCUACUGGUAUGCCACAGCUGGAUGUCUGCAGAACUUGUCAUCAAACAUGCAUCUCAUUAAAUUUCUGAUUUCAGUGCAAACACACAGUUUCACUGGAUUAUCUGAAACCUGAUCAUUUUCAGAAGCUUUUAGCUUGACUGGAGUGGUAACUUCAGGUGGAAGUAAUGAAAAAUUUGAAAGUUUUGCUUGGAUUCACCCCAGUUUGACCCCAAAAGCUCAAUUCUAAGCUGAAUCUUAAAGGGUUUAAGAUAAAGCACAGUAAUCUGAACUCAUGUGACAUUAGAGAUUUCCAAUAAUGGAAUAACAUUUGAAGCUUCAUCAUGUAUAUGUCACUGUAAUUCUGCUCUCCUCGUGUAGCUGCAGAUUGCUGUAUAACCAAAUAUAAACAUAUACAUUUUUCAGCAGUACUCGAUAAUGAAAUUCUGAACUGAUAGUUCACACCUGAAGAAACUUAUUAUCAAAUGACUGCAAUUCUGCCUUUUCAGAUUGACUAUUGGGACUGGCCCUUGCUAUAUUUUGCUCAGCCAGUUCAUCUUGUUGAUACAAAUCUGAUUUCACUCAGUGACACAUCCAUUGAUUAUGUACCCCUUGUACACAAGAGAGAAGAAAAAAAAUAUUCCCAUUUUGAGACUUUUCUCUACCUUUGUUGUAUCAAAUAGGUCUGUGUGUCAGGGUAUUCCAUGAAUAAAACCUUCACCCAGUGCCA